GCUUCGAUAGCGCAGUAGGCAUCGCGUGAGUCUCAUAAUCUCAAGGUCGUGAGUUCGAUCCUCACUCGGGGCA
rfam:Ciona savignyi cont_29205, whole genome shotgun sequence.